rnacentral:lncRNA from 1 species
AACCCAGGGACCAUGGGCGCCUCCAGGCUCUCUACGCUGGUGCUGGUCCUGCAGCCUCAGCAAGUUCUCCUGGGCAUGAAAAAGCGAGGCUUUGGGGCCGGCCGCUGGAAUGGCUUUGGGGGCAAAGUGCAAGAAGGAGAGACCACCGAGGAGGGAGCCAAGAGCUUCACUGAGAUAGGAACUGAAGCCCAGAGAGGUUGAGCAGCUUGCCCAAGAUCACACAGUCCUCCAGACACCCCUCACCCAUCACAGGGUCAACGAGAUCGUCUGUGUAAACAUCACAAAGUCCUGCCCAGAUGUAGCCCCUGUUCGUGUUCCUGCUCUGAGAAAGAUCAAGAAACAGAAGUGGACCGUGAACCCGGCCCUCCAUCCUGACUUCCAGUACAGUUGAUGACUUUGGCCUGUUCCCGGUGCAGGAUUUCAGAGGCUGCGCCCUCCUCCAGCUUCUUUCCAGCAUCACAUGUGCCACAGCAGUGAAUCCUCCUCCAGCUGCUGGGUGGUGCCCUGCAGAGUAGAGACGGCGUUGCACCAUGUUAGCCAGGCUUGUGUUGAACUCCUGACCUCAGGUGAUCUACCCGCCUUGGCUUCCCAAAGUGCUGAGAUUAGAGGUGAGAGCCACCGUGCCCUGCCAACACCCUGUCUUAAAGGGGGAAAAAACAUCCCUCAUUGGGGAGCAUCUGCAGGCGUGAGGAAUGGGAGACACUGGAGCCAGAUAGGCUGGUGCUUAGGGGUCCCAAGGCCCUGGGAACCCAGCAGCAAACGGCCUCGCUUCCCAGGGGAUAACACAACAGCAGCCCCAGGCCACCAGCAUGGCCCUAGGCUUCAGUACCUGUGAGUCUGAAUAGAUUUGCCCCUGGGGUGACCCCAGGCUCUUGCUGCCCAGUAGGGGGAGGCAGGGAGGAGCCUUGGCAGCCCACUCUC